ACGAACGCUGGCGGCGUGCUUAACACAUGCAAGUCGAACGAUGAAGCCCAGCUUGCUGGGUGGAUUAGUGGCGAACGGGUGAGUAACACGUGAGUAACCUGCCCUUGACUCUGGGAUAAGCGUUGGAAACGACGUCUAAUACCGGAUACGAGCUUCCACCGCAUGGUGAGUUGCUGGAAAGAAUUUUGGUCAAGGAUGGACUCGCGGCCUAUCAGCUUGUUGGUGAGGUAACGGCUCACCAAGGCGACGACGGGUAGCCGGCCUGAGAGGGUGACCGGCCACACUAGGACUGAGACACGGCCCAGACUCCUACGGGAGGCAGCAGUGGGGAAUAUUGCACAAUGGGCGAAAGCCUGAUGCAGCAACGCCGCGUGAGGGACGACGGCCUUCGGGUUGUAAACCUCUUUUAGCAGGGAAGAAGCGAAAGUGACGGUACCUGCAGAAAAAGCACCGGCUAACUACGU
rnacentral:rRNA from 1 species